CAUGGCAUGCACAGCAAUAUGGCGUUAUAAAAAACUGCUUUGUCGCACCUUAGUAAGGACCUUAUAUGUUUGAGCCGUCUAAUUCAAAAUCACCUUAAAUUAAUUGAGUGAGUUACGAAAUGCUUUGCUAUCUAUAUUACUCCAAAGUAUUAUAGCUAGCACAGAGGUGCAAUUAGAAUUCCCAUUGGAGAAAAAAGUUUUCACGGCCAUUCUUCAUGAAAUGAGUAUGUUACAUUUUUUGAGGAAUACUGUUUACACCGAUGCCAUAACAAUUUACUGUAAAAGCGCUUGACUUAUCUCUUCUCUUGAUAACAGGAUGUAUAAUGUUGUGGAGAAGGACUGGUUGGGAUUGUAGCCCAAUGCUGGACCUUUAAAGAAAAUGGGAUUAUCCUACCACCGUCACACGGCCUAGCACUGUGUCCCUGGGAAAUUAUGGUGUCAACUCUGGUCUGGUGGAGGAGAACCCAUUGGGGGCCCAGGAAAACAGCUGGCAGCCAGGCAA